UACGUAGGGUGCGAGCGUUAAUCGGAAUUACUGGGCGUAAAGGGCGAGUAGGUGGCCAUCUAAGUCAGACGUGAAAUCCCCGGGCUCAACCCGGGAACUGCGUCCGAUACUGGGAGGCUUGAAUCCGGGAGAGGGAUGUGGAAUUCCAGGUGUAGCGGUGAAAUGCGUAGAUAUCUGGAGGAACACCGGUGGCGAAGGCGGCAUCCUGGACCGGUAUUGACGCUGAGGCGCGAAAGCUAGGGGAGCAAACAGG
rnacentral:rRNA from 1 species